rnacentral:rRNA from 1 species
CGAACGCUGGCGGCGUGCUUAACACAUGCAAGUCGAACGGAAAGGCCCUGCUUUUGUGGGGUGCUCGAGUGGCGAACGGGUGAGUAACACGUGAGUAACCUGCCCUUGACUUUGGGAUAACUUCAGGAAACUGGGGCUAAUACCGGAUAGGAGCUCCUGCUGCAUGGUGGGGGUUGGAAAGUUUCGGCGGUUGGGGAUGGACUCGCGGCUUAUCAGCUUGUUGGUGGGGUAGUGGCUUACCAAGGCUUUGACGGGUAGCCGGCCUGAGAGGUGACCGGCCACAUUGGGACUGAGAUACGGCCCAGACUCCUACGGGAGGCAGCAGUGGGGAAUAUUGCACAAUGGGCGGAAGCCUGAUGCAGCAACGCCGCGUGCGGGAUGACGGCCUUCGGGUUGUAAACCGCUUUCGCCUGUGACGAAGCGUGAGUGACGGUAAUGGGUAAAGAAGCACCGGCUAACUACGUG